UAUGGAAACGUGCAGUGGUUUUAGGUAGCUGCAGGGAAGAGCUACAAAAGAGAGACUAGAGAGAGAGAGAGAGAGAGAGAGAGGGGAGAAAAGCUGUGGAAGUGGGAAGGAGAGUGAAAAGAAGUGAGACUGAUUUAUGAGACAAGGCGAGUUGGUUUUUACGUUUGUCUUUUACUUGCGCCUAUACGACUAUUAUAUAUUUAUUUUUUAUUUCUUUCAUUGAUAUUAAAUGUGAAAUUUCUUUCUUUUUUUCUUUUUUUAUUUAUUAAAUAAAAUGUGUGAUAUCUUUUUGCUGUUUCCCGCUUUACUCACUUUUACUCAUUGGAGUAGAGAUCGAGAAACCAAAGUGCAGUAAAAUCUGUCGGCUAAUUUAACUAAAUUCUACUCCUUUUUGUGGCAAUUGUCAACAAUAAUAUAUAUUUUUUUUAAUGUUUUAAUAACCACAAUACAUGGCUAUAUACGAUGCAUUGACCACAUCCCCUUUUCUAAUUACUAUCUGAUGAGAAACUUCAUAAGAUCCAUGAUCAUAAACAGUAACACACAUUGCUCCAUUCCAGAUCUUAAGCGUUUAAGACUGAACCCCUUGAGAAAUGAUGCUUUAUCGACACACAACAAAGAAGGGUUUGGAGUAAUAAUUCAAUAGAUUUGAAAGAGAAUUUGCGAUCUUAAUAAUAUGAAAAGUUUCCAACUUCUAAUAACCAUCACAAAAAAAAUUAACCAGCACGCUAGAAUUUGCAAAGGCCAACAAUAACACAAAAGAAGAUAUAAAAGAAGGAAAUAAAUUCGUCACCAUAUUCUAGGAAACACCAUCAUAUUAUCUAUACAUCAUAACCAUUUUCCGUCAAAUUCUAAACGCCCGAGCUUUUAGUACGGAGGAGGUGGGUAUUGUCCUGGGUAUGGACCUGGAAACAAGAAGAAACAAGAUCAACCACCAUUCAAAAUAGUUAGUGAACAGCAAGCGCUAUCAAUUGAAGCACAUACAUGAAAAAGAAAGGACAAUUAUUGUACCUUGUGAGUAAUACGAAGGUUGAGGAGGGUAUGGAGGAGGAGGGUAAGUUGAGGAUGGUGGAGGAGGAGGGUAAGCUGAAGGUACCGGAGGGUAAGCCGAGGUUGACGGAGGAGGAGGAUACGCAGAUGGCUGAGGAGGAUAGGCUGAAGCUGGUGGGUAUCCUGAUGGCUGUGGGUAUUGUUGUACUUGUGGGUAUAGAGAUGGUCCAGUGUAUGGUGCUGAUGAGUACGGAGAUGCAGAAGGAGGUGCUGAUGAAUACGGAGAUGCAGAAGGGGGUGCUGAGUAUUGAGGCACUUGAGGCGCAUAUGGAGCUGAUGGAGCAGCCGCAUAAUUAUGUUUCUGCAUACAAGAAUGGAUUGUAUGUUUAGACUUUUGUUUAUAAUGUAACAUGUAAAACAAUGUUGUUUAACUGAGUCUCAGACUUUACCUUU
rnacentral:lncRNA from 1 species